rnacentral:rRNA from 1 species
UACGUAGGGGGCAAGCGUUGUCCGGAAUUAUUGGGCGUAAAGCGCGCGCAGGCGGUCAUUUAAGUUUGGUGUUUAAUCCCGGAGCUCAACUCCGGGUCGCACUGAAAACUGGGUGACUUGAGUACAGAAGAGGAGAGUGGAAUUCCACGUGUAGCGGUGAAAUGCGUAGAUAUGUGGAGGAACACCAGUGGCGAAGGCGACUCUCUGGGCUGUAACUGACGCUGAGGCGCGAAAGCGUGGGGAGCGAACAGG